UAAAAAACUAGAUGUUUGUAGCCAAAGUUGGUGUUUUUGGUCAAAGUUGGUAGAAACUAGAUGUUUGUAGCCAAAGUUGGUGUUUUUGGUCAAAGUUGGUAGAAACUAGAUGUUUGUAGCCAAAGUUGGUGUUUUUGGUCAAAGUUGGUAGAAACUAGAUGUUUGUAGCCAAAGUUGGUGUUUUUGGUCAAAGUUGGUAGAAAAUGGAUGUUUGUAGCCAAAGUUGGUGUUUUUGGUCAAAGUUGGUAGAAAAUGGAUGUUUGUAGCCAAAGUUGGUGUUUUUGGUCAAAGUUGGUAGAAACUAGAUGUUUGUAGCCAAAGUUGGUGUUUUUGGUCAAAGUUGGUAAAAACUAGAUGUUUGUAGCCAAAGUUGGUGUUUUUGGUCAAAGUUGGUAGAAACUAGAUGUUUGUAGCCAAAGUUGGUGUUUUUGGUCAAAGUUGGUAGAAACUAGAUGUUUGUAGCCAAAGUUGGUGUUUUUGGUCAAAGUUGGUAGAAAAUGGAUGUUUGUAGCCAAAGUUGGUGUUUUUAGUCAAAGUUGGUAGAAACUAGAUGUUUGUAGCCAAAGUUGGUGUUUUUGGUCAAAGUUAGUAGAAAAUGGAUGUAUGUAGCCAAAGUUGGUGUUUUUGGUCAAAGUUGGUAGAAACUAGAUGUUUGUAGCCAAAGUUGGUGUUUUUGGUCAAAGUUGGUAGAAACUAGAUGUUUGUAGCCAAAGUUGGUGUUUUUGGUCAAAGUUGGUAGAAACUAGAUGUUUGUAGCCAAAGUUGGUGUUUUUGGUCAAAGUUGGUAGAAACUAGAUGUUUGUAGCCAAAGUUGGUGUUUUUGGUCAAAGUUGGUAGAAACUAGAUGUUUGUAGCCAAAGUUGGUGUUUUUGGUCAAAGUUGGUAGAAACUAGAUGUUUGUAGCCAAAGUUGGUGUUUUUGGUCAAAGUUGGUAGAAACUAGAUGUUUGUAGCCAAAGUUGGUGUUUUUGGUCAAAGUUGGUAGAAACUAGAUGUUUGUAGCCAAAGUUGGUGUUUUUGGUCAAAGUUGGUAGAAACUAGAUGUUUGUAGCCAAAGUUGGUGUUUUUGGUCAAAGUUGGUAGAAAAUGGAUGUUUGUAGGCAAAGUUGGUGUUUUUGGUCAAAGUUGGUAGAAACUAGAUGUUUGUAGCCAAAGUUGGUGUUUUUGGUCAAAGUUGGUAGAAACAAGAUGUUUGUAGCCAAAGUUGGUGUUUUUGGUCAAAGUUGGUAGAAACCAGAUGUUUGUAGCCAAAGUUGGUGUUUUUGGUCAAAGUUAGUAGAAAAUGGAUGUUUGUAGCCAAAGUUGGUGGUUUUGGUCAAAGUUAGUAGAAAAUGGAUGUUUGUAGCCAAAGUUGGUGUUUUUGGUCAAAGUUGGUAGAAACUAGAUGUUUGUAGCCAAAGUUGGUGUUUUUGGUCAAAGUUAGUAGAAAAUGGAUGUUUGUAGCCAAAGUUGGUGUUUUUGGUCAAUGUUGGUAGAAACUAGAUGUUUGUAGCCAAAGUUGGUGUUUUUGGUCAAAGUUGGUAGAAACUAGAUGUUUGUAGCCCAAGUUGGUGUUUUUGGUCAAAGUUAGUAGAAACUAGAUGUUUUGUAGCCAAAGUUGGUGUUUUUGGUCAAAGUUGGUAGAAACUAGAUGUUUGUAGCCAAAGUUGGUGUUUUUGGUCAAAGUUAGUAGAAAAUGGAUGUUUGUAGCCAAAGUUGGUGUUUUUGGUCAAAGUUAGUAGAAAAUGGAUGUUUGUAGCCAAAGUUGGUGUUUUUGGUCAAAGUUGGUAGAAACUAGAUGUUUGUAGCUAAAGUUGGUGUUUUUGGUUCAAGUUGGUGGAAAAUGGAUGUUUGUAGCCAAAGUUGGUGUUUUUGGUCAAAGUUGGUAGAAAAUGGAUGUUUGUAGCCAAAUUUUUUGUUUUUGGUCAAAGUUGGUAGAAACUAGAUGUUUGUAGCCAAAGUUGGUGUUUUUGGUCAAAGUUGGUAGAAACAAGAUGUUUGUAGCCAAAGUUGGUGUUUUUGGUCAAAGUUGGUAGAAACUAGAUGUUUGUAGCCAAAGUUGGUGUUUUUGGUCAAAGUUGGUAGAAACUAGAUGUUUGUAGCCAAAGUUGGUGUUUUUGGUCAAAGUUGGUAGAAACUAGAUGUUUGUAGCCAAAGUUGGUGUUUUUGGUCAAAGUUGGUAGAAACUAGAUGUUUGUAGCCAAAGUUGGUGUUUUUGGUCAAAGUUGGUAGAAAAUGGAUGUUUGUAGCCAAAGUUGGUGUUUUUGGUCAAAGUUGGUAGAAAAUAGAUGUUUGUAGCCGAAGUUGGUGUUGUUGGUCAAAGUUGGUAGAAACUAGAUGUUUGUAGCCAAAGUUGGUGUUUUUGGUCAAAGUUGGUAGAUACUAUAUGUAUGUAGCCAAAGUUGGUGUUUUUGGUCAAAGUUGGUAGAAAAUGGAUGUUUGUAGCCAAAGUUGGUGUUUUUGGUCAAAGUUAGUAGAAAAUGGAUGUUUGUAGCCACAGUUGGUGUUUUUGGUCAAAGUUGGUAGAAACUAGAUGUUUGUAGCCAAAGUUGGUGUUUUUGGUCAAAGUUAGUAGAAACUAGAUGUUUGUAGCCAAAGUUGGUGUUUUUGGUCAAAGUUAGUAGCAAAUGGAUGUUUGUAGCCAAAGUUGGUGUUUUUGGUCAAAGUUGGUAGAAACAAGAUGUUUGUAGCCAAAGUUGGUGUUUUUGGUCAAAGUUGGUAGAAACUAGAUGUUUGUAGCCAAAGUUGGUGUUUUUGGUCAAAGUUGGUAGAAACUAGAUGUUUGUAGCCAAAGUUGGUGUUUUUGGUCAAAGUUGGUAGAAACUAGAUGUUUGUAGCCAAAGUUGGUGUUUUUGGUCAAAGUUGGUAGAAACUAGAUGUUUGUAGCCAAAGUUGGUGUUUUUGGUCAAAGUUAGUAGAAAAUGGAUGUUUGUAGCCAAAGUUGGUGUUUUUGGUCAAAGUUGGUAGAAACUAGAUGUUUGUAGCCGAAGUUGGUGUUGUUGGUCAAAGUUGGUAGAAACUAGAUGUUUGUAGCCAAAGUUGGUGUUUUUGGUCAAAGUUGGUAGAAACUAGAUGUAUGUAGCCAAAGUUGGUGUUUUUGGUCAAAGUUGGUAGAAAAUGGAUGUAUGUAGCCAAAGUUGGUGUUUUUGGUCAGAGUUAGUAGAAAAUGGAUGUUUGUAGCCACAGUUGGUGUUUUUGGUCAAAGUUGGUAGAAACUAGAUGUUUGUAGCCAAAGUUGGUGUUUUUGGUCAAAGUUAGUAGAAACUAGAUGUUUGUAGCCAAAGUUGGUGUUUUUGGUCAAAGUUAGUAGCAAAUGGAUGUUUUUAGCCAAAGUUGUUGUUUUUGGUCAAAGUUGGUAGAAACUAGAUGUUUGUAGCCAAAGUUGGUGUUUUUGGUCAAAGUUGGUAGAAACUAGAUGUUUUGUAGCCAAAGUUGGUGUUUUUGGUCAAAGUUAGUAAAAAAUGGAUGUUUGUAGCCAAAGUUGGUGUUUUUGGUCAAAGUUGGUAGAAACUAGAUGUUUGUAGUCAAAGUUGGUGUUUUUGGUCAAAGUUGGUAGAAACUAGAUGUUUGUACCCAAAGUUGGUGUUUUUGGUCAAAGUUGGUAGAAACUAGAUGUUUGUAGCUAAUGUUGGUGUUUUUGGUCAAAGUUGGUAGAAAAUGGAUGUUUGUAGCCAAAGUUGGUGUUUUUGGUCAAAGUUGGUAGAAACUAGAUGUUUGUAGCCAAAGUUGGUGUUUUUGGUCAAAGUUAGUAGAAACUAGAUGUUUUGUAGCCAAAGUUGGUGUUUUUGGUCAAAGUUAGUAGAAACUAGAUGUUUUGUAGCCAAAGUUGGUGUUUUUGGUCAAAGUUGGUAGAAACUAGAUGUUUGUAGCCAAAGUUGGUGUUUUUGGUCAAAGUUGGUAGAAACUAGAUGUUUGUAGCCAAAGUUGGUGUUUUUGGUCAAAGUUGGUAGAAAAUGGAUGUUUGUAGCCAAAGUUGGUGUUUUUGGUCAAAGUUGGUAGAAACUAGAUGUUUGUAGCCAAAGUUGGUGUUUUUGGUCAAAGUUAGUAGAAAAUGGAUGUUUGUAGCCAAAGUUGGUGUUUUUGGUCAAAGUUGGUAGAAACUAGAUGUUUGUAGCUAAAGUUGGUGUUUUUGGUUCAAGUUGGUAGAAAAUGGAUGUUUGUAGCCAAAGUUGGUGGUUUUGGUCAAAGUUAGUAGAAAAUGGAUGUUUGUAGCCAAAGUUGGUGUUUUUGGUCAAAGUUGGUAGAAACUAGAUGUUUGUAGCCAAAGUUGGUGUUUUUGGUCAAAGUUAGUAGAAACUAGAUGUUUGUAGCCAAAGUUGGUGUUUUUGGUCAAAGUUGGUAGAAACUAGAUGUUUGUAGCCAAAGUUGGUGUUUUUGGUCAAAGUUGGUAGAAACUAGAUGUUUGUAGCCAAAAUUGGUGUUUUUGGUCAAAGUUAGUAGAAACUAGAUGUUUUGUAGCCAAAGUUGGUGUUUUUGGUCAAAGUUGGUAGAAACUAGAUGUUUGUAGCCAAAGUUGGUGUUUUUGGUCAAAGUUAGUAGAAAAUGGAUGUUUGUAGCCAAAGUUGGUGUUUUUGGUCAAAGUUAGUAGAAAAUGGAUGUUUGUAGCCAAAGUUGGUGUUUUUGGUCAAAGUUGGUAGAAACUAGAUGUUUGUAGCUUAAGUUGGUGUUUUUGGUUCAAGUUGGUAGAAAAAGGAUGUUUGUAGCCAAAGUUGGUGUUUUUGGUCAAAGUUAGUAGAAAAUGGAUGUUUGUAGCCAAAGUUGGUGUUUUUGGUCAAAGUUAGUAGAAACUAGAUGUUUGUAGCCAAAGUUGGUGUUUUUGGUCAAUGUUGGUUGAAACUAGAUGUUUGUAGCCAAAGUUGGUGUUUUUGGUCAAAGUUAGUAGAAAAUGGAUGUUUGUAGCCAAAGUUGGUGUUUUUGGUCAAAGUUGGUAGAAACUAGAUGUUUGUAGUCAAAGUUGGUGUUUUUGGUCAAAGUUGGUAGAAACUAGAUGUUUGUAGCUAAAGUUGGUGUUUUUGGUCAAAGUUGGUAGCCAAAGUUUGUGUUUUUGGUCAAAGUUGGUAGAAACAAGAUGUUUGUAGCCAAAGCUGGUGUUUUUGGUCAAAGUUGGUAGAAACUAGAUGUUUGUAGCCAAAGUUGGUGUUUUUGGUCAAAGUUAGUAGAAAAUGGAUGUUUGUAGCUAAAGUUGGUGUUUUUGGUCAAAGUUGGUAGAAACUAGAUGUUUGUAGCCAAAGUUGGUGUUUUUGGUCAAAGUUGGUAGAAACAAGAUGUUUGUAGCCAAAGCUGGUGUUUUUGGUCAAAGUUGGUAGAAACUAGAUGUUUGUAGCCAAAGUUGGUGUUUUUGGUCAAAGUUGGUAGAAACUAGAUGUUUGUAGCCAAAGUUGGUGUUUUUGGUCAAAGUUAGUAGAAAAUGGAUGUUUGUAGCCAAAGUUGGUGUUUUUGGUCAAAGUUGGUAGAAACUAGAUGUUUGUAGCCAAAGUUGGUGUUUUUGGUCAAAGUUGGUAGCCAAAGUUGGUGUUUUUGGUCAAAGUUGGUAGAAACAAGAUGUUUGUAGCCAAAGCUGGUGUUUUUGGUCAAAGUUGGUAGAAACUAGAUGAUUGUAGCCAAAGUUGGUGUUUUUGGUCAAAGUUGGUAGAAACUAGAUGUUUGUAGCCAAAGUUGGUGUUUUUGGUCAAAGUUAGUAGAAAAUGGAUGUUUGUAGCCAAAGUUGGUGUUUUUGGUCAAAGUUGGUAGAAUAUAGAUGUUUGUAGCCAAAGUUGGUGUUUUUGGUCAAAGUUGGUAGAAAAUGGACGUUUGUAGCCAAAGUUGGUGUUUUUGGUCAAAGUUGGUAGAAACUAGAUGUUUGUAGCCAAAGUUGGUGUUUUUGGUCAAAGUUGGUAGAAACAAGAUGUUUGUAGCCAAAAUUGGUGUUUUUGGUCAAAGUUGGUAGAAACUAGAUGUUUGUAGCCAAAGUUGGUGUUUUUGGUCAAAGUUGGUAGAAACUAGAUGUUUGUAGCCAAAGUUGGUGUUUUUGGUCAAAGUUGGUAGAAACUAGAUGUUUGUAGCCAAAGUUGGUGUUUUUGGUCAAAGUUGGUAGAAACUAGAUGUUUGUAGCCAAAGUUGGUGUUUUUGGUCAAAGUUGGUAGAAACUAGAUGUUUGUAGCCAAAGUUGGUGUUUUUGGUCAAAGUUGGUAGAAACUAGAUGUUUGUAG